UCGGGGGUCGUCUAACCGGUAGGACACCAGCCUUUGGAGCUGUGAAUCGGGGUUCGAUUCCCUGCCCCCGAGCCA
rnacentral:tRNA from 1 species